UCUUCCUGUUUACCUGUGUUGUUAUGUAUUUAUUUAUGGGAUUUAUAUUUAUGCCCUUCCUAAACUACUCUCACAUCAUCAUGAGAUGUGAUUUUAAAUCAGACUCUUGCUUUUCCAGUGUGUUGGUGUAUCCGUGCCUUGCUGUGAUGGGAGAUCUUGGUUCAUGUGAUGCCAAGUGUUUUUGGAUUCUGUUGCUUAGGUUCUGGUACCUGCCUCUCACCAUCUGGUUAUCUGAGCACUUAGCUGGUCUUGCUGUCUAUGACAGUGACUUCAACUUUCUGUAAUGUAUCUGUCAGCACUUUUGGGAUACCAGCACCCUCCCAGAGGGACUUGGUUACUGAGAAAUGUAGCACUGGAUCAGCUCUGUUUGCAAAUCGAAACCAGAAUAUACUGUCCCAGCUGAUUUUGGGUUCCUGUGUCCUGAGGGCUCCAGACAGCUUCCUCUGGGCAGAAGUGGAUGUUUCUUCUGUGUCUCAGGUGUGUCAGCAUUCCUUAGAAACCAGUUCUUUCCAUGCAGGAUCUGGGCACAGAGAGUUGUGGAUCACAUUCUUCAUCAGGUGCUUAUUGAAGCCAUGGGUAACAAAACUUAUAUUGUCAUCAAAUUAUGGAUGUAUUUUUACUUAUUCUACUGUCUCAUCUGCUUUGGCAUCAGCGCUGAAUAGAUUUAAGACAUCUGCGCAUGUGUCUUCAGGUGCUGAAGAAAAACACCCUUCUCUGUACAUUGCCUAUUGGGCUGACACUUAAACAUUGCUCUGGGAUGUUGCAAACAGACCAAGCUAGAAAGGUACAAAAUGACUUUAUGUGCCUUAGUUGGAAUGUUGAUCUUAUUCUCUUAGACAAUCAACUUGUCUCUCUCUGCAUCCUAUUACACGCUGAGGACAGAAUAUUUGGAGGAUGUUGUACCUGCCCCCGAAACACUGCAACUCACUGAGUUGGAAAAUUGAGAAACUAUAAAGAAGAGAUUCUACCCUGCACUGUGGAUUCCCAGUGUUUUAUUUUGGAUGCCUUAUUCACCCAAGAGCAACAAGUUACGAAGGCAUCGAGAAAGCAUGGACAACAGCUGAGUCUUAUCACUGUGUGGCAGGGAUGGAUUUCUGGAAGACAUGCAAGAAGAGGCUACUGAUGAGAGUGCACCCCAGUUGCAACAAGGAGUCACAUUAAAAGUACUGACCUGAGUCUCAGAAGACAUUUUGAACUUCUAAAUAAUAUUUAACCGAUGAUAAAUAAGAUACUGUAACCAGUAUCCUUCGCGUUCACUUUAAGAUAUAUUAAUUCCACACAGAUUCAACUCUUCUAACUGUCCAUGUUAAGGAUCCAUUGAAUUGGAGCUGUAUCAGUGCUCUUCAUGAAACAUAAAUGAAUCAUGGGAUUGGGGAAGUGGAUUAUAUACUACAUGGAUAGGCUGGGGAGAGAACUUCAAAAUUUGGGAGAAGAAUAAUGUCAAAAUAUAUUGUAUGACAAACAAACAUGCUUAACAAGGAUGAAGCCACUUCAUCAACCAAACCCAUGCAGAGAACUUCAUGAAGCCUCAACCUUCAAAGUAUAUUAGGCAAGUGCAAUAAAUUCAUAGUGUGAGAGGUGGUUUUUAUCAGAGAUAAACACAUCAGUUGGUGGGUUCAAUGACAAAUGAUCACCCCUGAAAACAUAUACAUGCAAAACUAUACAGACAGAACAGGUUAAACACAGACAUAUGCUUGAGUAAAUAUAUAU
rnacentral:sRNA from 1 species